UCAUCAUUCACAGAAAGCACGAGGCAGCCGCGAGAGAAGAAAACGAUACAAACAGCGACAUAAGACAGUUUGGACACGUUCGCAACAGUUUUAAUUUGCUUUAGAUAAUAAAUAUUAUGGCGAAUGAGUUCGCGAAGAGUAGUUUUACAGAGGAAAAGGUCUCGUUUUGGUCAGGUUUUAAGGCAAACCCAUCCAUUUUGAGAAGAAGAGUUAUUCAGUUCACGGAUGUUUUAUUGAUGCCGAGCCACCCAACUAAGCCUGAAGAAACUUCACAUAGGCAAAAGAAGAUUCAUCGCUCCGGAAUAACAGACCUGGAUCUCAAGACCUGUGCUGAGACAGUUCAAGUUACCAGAUUUUGAUCAGUACCCCCCCCCCAUGCCUCAGAAGAAAAGUGUUUAAUUCAUAUGAGAGGAUUCUGCAACCUCACGAGAACGCCUGUCAGUAUUGAUCUAGUGUCUAUAAGCCAUACAAAUACUGUACUUCAUUUUCAUCAGCCAGUUUCUGAAAUCACUGAUGCAACUAAUUAUGCAUUUGGUAAGACAAGAGCUAAUAAGAUGAAUCUGCUGCAGUCACUGAGGUAAAUACCUGAAGGACACCAAAUCCUUGAGGAUAAAUUAGUUCUUUACAAACAUUUCCAUCAUCUUGUGACAUUCUUGUGACCUGAGCGAAGUGACUGGAAUAAUAAUGUAAAUAUUGUUUUUAUAAAAUCUGU